GGGGCUGACCGGUUUUGACAGCGUGUAGAAGAGGUCAGUAAGCAUGCAGAGCAACGGUGGCUGCACUCUUAAAAAUCCGACACCGAAAAUUCAAAUGGCGAAAACAACUACGCUCUCGCUGCUUGAUUGAAGUACAGUAGAUCAGCUUUAUCCGCGUAACAGUUACGCGGACGAGACAUCGCCCGAGAGUCCUGGACCCGAGACUCCUCGACACGGCGGUGCAGCAAAAUCGGGUAUAGGCGCG
rnacentral:tmRNA from 1 species